AGAGUUUGAUCCUGGCUCAGGAUGAACGCCGGCGGUGUGCCUAAUACAUGCAAGUCGUACGCACUGGCCCAACUGAUUGAUGGUGCUUGCACCUGAUUGACGAUGGAUCACCAGUGAGUGGCGGACGGGUGAGUAACACGUAGG
rnacentral:rRNA from 1 species